UAGGGAAUCUUCCGCAAUGGGCGAAAGCCUGACGGAGCAACGCCGCGUGAGUGAUGAAGGUCUUCGGAUCGUAAAACUCUGUUAUCAGGGAAGAAUAAAUGUGUAAGUAACUGUGCACAUCUUGACGGUACCUGAUCAGAAAGCCACGGCUAACUACGUGCCAGCAGCCGCGGUAAUACGUAGGUGGCAAGCGUUAUCCGGAAUUAUUGGGCGUAAAGCGCGCGUAGGCGGUUUUUUAAGUCUGAUGUGAAAGCCCACGGCUCAACCGUGGAGGGUCAUUGGAAACUGGAAAACUUGAGUGCAGAAGAGGAAAGUGGAAUUCCAUGUGUAGCGGUGAAAUGCGCAGAGAUAUGGAGGAACACCAGUGGCGAAGGCGACUUUCUGGUCUGUAACUGACGCUGAUGUGCGAAAGCGUGGGGAUCAAACA
rnacentral:rRNA from 1 species